rnacentral:tRNA from 1 species
UCCUGGUAGCUCAGCUGGUAAAGAAUCUGCCUGCAAUGUAGAAGACCUGGGUUUGAUUCCUGGAUCAGGAA